rnacentral:rRNA from 1 species
GGUUAAGCGACUAAGCGUACACGGUGGAUGCCCCGGCAGUCAGAGGCGAUGAAGGACGUGCUAAUCUGCGAUAAGCGUCGGUAAGGUGAUAUGAACCGUUAUAACCGGCGAUUUCCGAAUGGGGGAAACCCAGUGUGUUUCGACACACUAUCAUUAACUGAAUCCAUAGGUUAAUGAGGGCGAACCGGGGGAACUGAAACAUCUAAGUACCCCGAGGAAAAGAAAUCAACCGAGAUUCCCCCAGUAGCGGCGAGCGAACGGGGAGGAGCCCAGAGCCUGAAUCAGUGUGUGUGUUAGUGGAAGCGUCUGGAAAGGCGCGCGAUACAGGGUGACAGCCCCGUACACAAAAAUGCACAUGCUGUGAGCUCGAUGAGUAGGGCGGGACACGUGGUAUCCUGUCUGAAUAUGGGGGGACCAUCCUCCAAGGCUAAAUACUCCUGACUGACCGAUAGUGAACCAGUACCGUGAGGGAAAGGCGAAAAGAACCCCGGCGAGGGGGAGUGAAAAGAACCUGAAACCGUGUACGUACAAGCAGUGGGAGCACAGAGCAAUCUGUGUGACUGCGUACCUUUUGUAUAAUGGGUCAGCGACUUAUAUUCUGUAGCAAGGUUAACCGAAUAGGGGAGCCGAAGGGAAACCGAGUCUUAACUGGGCGUUAAGUUGCAGGGUAUAGACCCGAAACCCGGUGAUCUAGCCAUGGGCAGGUUGAAGGUUGGGUAACACUAACUGGAGGACCGAACCGACUAAUGUUGAAAAAUUAGCGGAUGACUUGUGGCUGGGGGUGAAAGGCCAAUCAAACCGGGAGAUAGCUGGUUCUCCCCGAAAGCUAUUUAGGUAGCGCCUCGUGAAUUCAUCUCCGGGGGUAGAGCACUGUUUCGGCAAGGGGGUCAUCCCGACUUACCAACCCGAUGCAAACUGCGAAUACCGGAGAAUGUUAUCACGGGAGACACACGGCGGGUGCUAACGUCCGUCGUGAAGAGGGAAACAACCCAGACCGCCAGCUAAGGUCCCAAAGUCAUGGUUAAGUGGGAAACGAUGUGGGAAGGCCCAGACAGCCAGGAUGUUGGCUUAGAAGCAGCCAUCAUUUAAAGAAAGCGUAAUAGCUCACUGGUCGAGUCGGCCUGCGCGGAAGAUGUAACGGGGCUAAACCAUGCACCGAAGCUGCGGCAGCGACACUGUGUGUUGUUGGGUAGGGGAGCGUUCUGUAAGCCUGUGAAGGUGUGCUGUGAGGCAUGCUGGAGGUAUCAGAAGUGCGAAUGCUGACAUAAGUAACGAUAAAGCGGGUGAAAAGCCCGCUCGCCGGAAGACCAAGGGUUCCUGUCCAACGUUAAUCGGGGCAGGGUGAGUCGACCCCUAAGGCGAGGCCGAAAGGCGUAGUCGAUGGGAAACAGGUUAAUAUUCCUGUACUUGGUGUUACUGCGAAGGGGGGACGGAGAAGGCUAUGUUGGCCGGGCGACGGUUGUCCCGGUUUAAGCGUGUAGGCUGGUUUUCCAGGCAAAUCCGGAAAAUCAAGGCUGAGGCGUGAUGACGAGGCACUACGGUGCUGAAGCAACAAAUGCCCUGCUUCCAGGAAAAGCCUCUAAGCAUCAGGUAACAUCAAAUCGUACCCCAAACCGACACAGGUGGUCAGGUAGAGAAUACCAAGGCGCUUGAGAGAACUCGGGUGAAGGAACUAGGCAAAAUGGUGCCGUAACUUCGGGAGAAGGCACGCUGAUAUGUAGGUGAAGUCCCUCGCGGAUGGAGCUGAAAUCAGUCGAAGAUACCAGCUGGCUGCAACUGUUUAUUAAAAACACAGCACUGUGCAAACACGAAAGUGGACGUAUACGGUGUGACGCCUGCCCGGUGCCGGAAGGUUAAUUGAUGGGGUCAGCGCAAGCGAAGCUCUUGAUCGAAGCCCCGGUAAACGGCGGCCGUAACUAUAACGGUCCUAAGGUAGCGAAAUUCCUUGUCGGGUAAGUUCCGACCUGCACGAAUGGCGUAAUGAUGGCCGGGCUGUCUCCACCCGAGACUCAGUGAAAUUGAACUCGCUGUGAAGAUGCAGUGUACCCGCGGCAAGACGGAAAGACCCCGUGAACCUUUACUAUAGCUUGACACUGAACAUUGAGCCUUGAUGUGUAGGAUAGGUGGGAGGCUUUGAAGUGUGGACGCCAGUCUGCAUGGAGCCGACCUUGAAAUACCACCCUUUAAUGUUUGAUGUUCUAACGUGGACCCGUGAUCCGGGUUGCGGACAGUGUCUGGUGGGUAGUUUGACUGGGGCGGUCUCCUCCUAAAGAGUAACGGAGGAGCACGAAGGUUGGCUAAUCCUGGUCGGACAUCAGGAGGUUAGUGCAAUGGCAUAAGCCAGCUUGACUGCGAGCGUGACGGCGCGAGCAGGUGCGAAAGCAGGUCAUAGUGAUCCGGUGGUUCUGAAUGGAAGGGCCAUCGCUCAACGGAUAAAAAGGUACUCCGGGGAUAACAGGCUGAUACCGCCCAAGAGUUCAUAUCGACGGCGGUGUUUGGCACCUCGAUGUCGGCUCAUCACAUCCUGGGGCUGAAGUAGGUCCCAAGGGUAUGGCUGUUCGCCAUUUAAAGUGGUACGCGAGCUGGGUUUAGAACGUCGUGAGACAGUUCGGUCCCUAUCUGCCGUGGGCGCUGGAGAACUGAGGGGGGCUGCUCCUAGUACGAGAGGACCGGAGUGGACGCAUCACUGGUGUUCGGGUUGUCAUGCCAAUGGCACUGCCCGGUAGCUAAAUGCGGAAGAGAUAAGUGCUGAAAGCAUCUAAGCACGAAACUUGCCCCGAGAUGAGUUCUCCCUGACCCUUUAAGGGUCCUGAAGGAACGUUGAAGACGACGACGUUGAUAGGCCGGGUGUGUAAGCGCAGCGAUGCGUUGAGCUAACCGGUACUAAUGAACCGUGAGGCUUAACCUU